UACGGAGGAUCCAAGCGUUAUCCGGAAUCAUUGGGUUUAAAGGGUGCGUAGGCGGUCAUGUAAGUCAGCGGUGAAAUCCGGCAGCUCAACUGUCGAUGUGCCAUUGAUACUGCAUGACUUGAGUACUGAUGAGGUAGGCGGAAUUGACGGUGUAGCGGUGAAAUGCUUAGAUAUCGUCAAGAACACCGAUAGCGAAGGCAGCUUACUAAGCAGUAACUGACGCUGAUGCACGAAAGUGUGGGGAUCAAACAGG
rnacentral:rRNA from 1 species